GCUUCUUCCACAGUUGUGACCAGGUGGGACAAGUUGGCUACUUCCGUUGCUUAGCACAUUUUCUGCUUUUGUGACCCAACCGUGGAGUAUUUGGGAUGGAACUCAGGCUCCCCAGUAUGUUAGGGCCGAUGAGCCGGGUUCUCACGUGCCCUCCCAGGGCUCGUCUUCCAGAAUGAUGCCUGCUAUUUACUAUUCGCUCGGUAA